rnacentral:rRNA from 1 species
AUUGAACGCUGGCGGCAGGCCUAACACAUGCAAGUCGAACGAGUGGCGGACGGGUGAGUAAUGUCUGGGAAACUGCCUGAUGGAGGGGGAUCACUACUGGAAACGGUAGCUAAUACCGCAUACCAUCGGAUGUGCCCAGAUGGGAUUAGCGAGUAGGUGGGGUAAAGGCUCACCUAGGCGACGAUGCAUAGCUGGUCGUCGCGGAUGACCGUCCACACUGGAACUGAUACACGGUCCAGACUCCUACGGUAGGAAGCAGUGGGGAAUAUUGCACAAGGGGCGCAAGCCUGAUGCAGCCAUGCCGCGUGUAUGAUGCAGGCCUUCGGGUUUUAAAGUACUUUCAGCGGGGAGGCGUUACCCGCAGAAGAAGCACCGGCUAACUCCGUGCCAGCAGCCGCGGUAAUUC